CUGAAUAGUGGAAAUGGGAUUUGGACCAACCACAAGCACAUUAACCACUGUACACUACAGUUUCAUUAGCUUAGGAUAAAGAAGGACCUGAACCAUCUGAGAAGAUUGUGAAGGGGACAUCUGAUGACCAUCUAGGAUGGUACAUGGUGGUCUCUGAGUCUAGAACGGUUCAAGCUAGAAGAAUUGAAUUCUUCCGUGUAUCCUUUGCCAACUGUCAGUAGUGAAGUUUACAAUUUAUAAUUUCUGGUGAAUAGUCUCAAUCAAGUUUUAGAAAGAUGUGUUAUUAGAUAUGGUGAAAAAAGACACAGUAUUAUUCACUAGGGCCAUCACUCUUACUCUUUGGUUUGUUUUCUUUUUUUUUAUUUUAAGAGACAGGUCUCGCUCAGUGGUUCAGGCUGGAGUGCAGUGGCAUGAUCACGGCUCAGUGCAGCUGCAACCUCCUAGGCUCAAGUGAUCCUGUCACUUCAGCCUCCUGAGUAGCUGGGACCAUAGGUGCUGCCACCAUGCCUGGCUAAUUUUUUAAUUCUUUAUAGAGACAGGGUCUCACUAUGUUGCACAGGCUGGUCUCGAACUCCCGGCCUCAAGCAAUGCUCCUGCUUUGGCCUUCCAAAGUGCUGGAAUUACUGCGUCCAGGCUAUAAUGACUCUCUUAAUAGCUAAAUCUAUUAGCAGACGGAAAUAAUUGAUGCUACCUUAUUACAUAAAAUAGAGCAUUUAUAGGACGGUGAUAAAAUUAAAGCAAGCAUUUCUUAGUGAAACAAACCAUUGUUCCUGAUUGUUCAUCAGGUAAUUUAUCAUAAAAUUAUUUUUCCUUUAUACACAUGUGGAGUUAUAGACAUUUAUGUUGAAUGCUUUAAAAUUGUCUUUAGUUUUCUCUCAUAUUGCCUUAGUUUGUAGUAAUUUAGAGUAAUUAGAGUAAUAUGAGUAAUUAGAGUAAUUUCUCAUGUUGUCUUAGUUUGAUUACUUAUAAAUUAUUCAGUACUUUCUUUCAUUAAAACAUUAUUAAUAAUAUGAUAUUUGAAAAGGUAAUAUUCUUUAUUGAAGUUAAAUUAGUUUAUGUUCUCAUAGCACAUUUUUUGUUGAUCUGAAUAAGUUAUGUUACUUGGCUAACAAUGCCCAGACAACCUUACUAUUAACUCUAGCAAUCUAGGAUGUAGAAUUGUGUUGAGAUAAGUAGAAGUCAAAAGAAAUAAAAGGUUGGAAUCAGUGAAGAAAUUAAACAUCAUUUAAAUUAUCAACAUGUCCACCUGAGACUGUAAUUGAGAAGGAAAAAAGAGGAUCAGAAUUGAGUUUCAAGAAGCAGCCUCUUAACUUUCCUAUCUUUAAAGGAUCAAACUUGAUAAGGAGUCUAGAGUGUUUCCUUGACAAUCUGAGGGAAGGAACUAUGGGCUCAUGGCCUACUAUGUCAUGCUAAAGUUUAGGCGUUUAAUAAUCCAUUGACAAUCAUCAGGCAUUUAGGUAAACAAAAAUGAACAUAUCUGCCUGGAUCCCAUUACUUCAUUUCAGAUCUUAAAUCUUUUGUAAUAACCAGAACAUUACAACAACAUUAAGCCUUUCAUAUAUGAAGUAAUGUAUUUCAGUAGAGGGAUUUCCUAGGCUCUUGGUGGAGUAGUAUGCAGAAUGACUUCAGCCUCCUCUAAUGUUUGGAUAAAACGAAACCUUCAAAUGGAAUAAGUUCCACUGUUGUGUAAAUCAGUCAAGAUUUUUUAAACAACUAUAUAAGCUCAAGAUGGUGGAGGCAAAAUCCCCCACAUAAAACAUUAAGAGAACAAUAAGAAGUAUUCUCUGCUCCUAUACUCUGCUUCCAUCAUGUCUGUACUCUGCUCAGAAACCUCCUAUCCUGAGCCACAGUGUGGUGCCAUAUGCCUGGACUCCCACCUACCUGGGAGGAUGAGGUGGGAGAAUUGCCUGAGUCAGGAGUUCGAGGCCAGCCUGGGUAAUAUAGUGAGACCUUGUCUCUAAAAAUAAACUUUAAGCAAACAAAAAAACACCCUAAAAACUCUCCUGUCCAUCCCUCUUUUUUAGAGAAGGAUGUCCCCAAAUCUGUGCAUGGAA
rnacentral:lncRNA from 10 species